GACGGGGAUCCGGAAGGCGUUGUCGGUGACAUCACGGAGAGGGCGAUUUCUAUGUAGAUGAGGCAGCGCAGGGGCUGCUGCUUCGCCACCUGCUGCUUCGCCACGAAAGAGUUCCCGUGCCGUGGGAGCAAGUCUGGGACCUCUGGUCGGAACGGAGAGUCGCAGCUGUGUGUUAGGGCUAGGAUGGCUCCGGGAUGCGCGUGAGGCAAGUGACCUUGCGUGUAAAGGGAUACAUGAUCCCUUAAUUCAGGCUCAGGCUGAAGAACUGACCCACUUACGACAGAAGAUACAGGAAGGGAGAGGUGUCUGCUACCUUUUCACCCAGCAUGUGAAGAACACAGUCAAGUCUUUUGAGGGCCUUCUCAGGAACACUGACAUUGCCUACUACCAGAGACAGAGAUUCUGUGAGCAAAUGGUACAAGGAAGCCAGCUGACAGAGAUCCUUGUCAGAAAACUUGCCACAGAGUCUUGCUCUCUUACCCAAGCUGGAGUGCAGUGACAUGAUCUUGGCUGACUGCAAUCUGUGCCUCCUGGGCUCAAGCAAUCUUCCCACCUCAGCCUCCCAAGUAGCUGGGACUACAGGUGUGUGCCACCACACCUGGCUAAUGUUUGUAUUUUUUGUAGAGAUAGGGUUUCUCCCUGUUGUCCAGGCUGGUCUUGAACUACUGAGCUGGAGUAAUCCACCUGCUUUGGCCUCCCAAAGUGCUGGGAUUACAGAUAUGAGCCACUGUGCCUGGCCGGAGAGUUCUUAGUUUCAAUCAGUAAGAGA
ensembl:lncRNA LINC00869 long intergenic non-protein coding RNA 869